CACGAACCGUACGAACGUUAUUCGGAAUUACUGGGCUUAAAGGGUUUGUAGGCGGCUUUGUAAGUCAGGUGUGAAAGCCCUCGGCUCAACCGAGGAACAGCGCUUGAUACUGCAAGGCUUGAGGGAGACAGGGGUAAGCGGAACUGAUGGUGGAGCGGUGAAAUGCGUUGAUAUCAUCAGGAACACCGGUGGCGAAAGCGGCUUACUGGGUCUCUUCUGACGCUGAGGAACGAAAGCUAGGGUAGCGAACGGG
rnacentral:rRNA from 1 species